AGAGAAAUUAUCAUUUGUAUGGUGAUAUUGUUUCUUUUGAUACGACGUACUCAACAAAUAGGUAUGUGCACACUAAUUACUAUUUUUCACUUCAAUGAAGUAUAUUGAGCAUAUAGUGAUGUAUAUUGUGCAUUACAGUGAUGUAUAUUUCUGCAUGCUUAUAGUGUAUUAUUUUUCAUUUUAGGGAAGUAUAUUGAGCAAUUAGUAAACUACAAUAUGCUCACAGUGAAGUGUAUUGAACAUGCCUUGACAUUGAGUACAUUGAGCAUAUAAUAAUGUAUAUUGUGCAUUACAGUGAUGUAUAUUUCUGCAUGCUUAUAGUGUGACGCCCCGACUUUUCCUAUUUCUUUUAAGUUAGUUUUUGGAUGACCGUCAAACUUUUAGUCGAAUAUCGUUUUUUUAGAGUUUAUGGAAUUAUUUUUUUAGAGCUCGUGUUUUCCUUAAGCCUUACUUGAUUAGAGAGUAGAGAAUUUUAAGUAGCAAUAGAAGUGGAAUUUUGUGAAUGCUCGAAAAUUAUUGAAGAUUCGUGUUGCAUAAGAAAUCGAGGAAUGUUACACGAUUUUUGAGGAGAAAAUAGAAUUUAAAUUUAUGUUUAGCAAAAGAAUAAAAUUUUAGAGCCUAUAAUGUAUUUUUUUAUGCACCCAGCCCAAUUUUCUUUCUAUGAAACAGCUUUUGGAGAAUCCAAUAUGAGACCACCGUAAAUAUGCUCAAAUCUACUCAAAUCUUCCAUUCAAAUAUCUUCCCUAAGAAUUAGGAGGCAUUCAGUAACAAUUUCACCUAUGUAUAUCUAUAUAUAUACACCCCCACACGUCUCCCACCUUUCAGAAACCUUGAAAAAAAUAUAGAAAAAAGAACCGUGUUGGAGAAGAGAGUUUUCUGCCGCCUAAACCUUUCAGAAACCUUGAAAAAAAUAUAGAAAAAAGAACCGAGUUGGAGAAAAGAGUUUCCUGCCGCCUAAGAAGGAUUUUCUUUCGCAAGCGAGUUAAGGACGGAGUGGGAAUUUUCAAGUUAAGAAAUUUAAGCGAACGAGGUUGAGCAUGACGGGUGCGGUACUGUAUGAUAUUGGUGAGGAAUUGUGAGACGUCGCAAUCUGCUUCGGCUUCGGAAAAGGGCACGCCGGCGUCGUUGAAGUCGACGUAGAGAUUGGCGACGAUGCGGCCAGCAAGGGGGUAGUAUAUGGAGAGGACCUCCGAUAGGGAUUUUUUCAGCUGUUUUGAUUUAAAGAAGUCGGAGAAUUUUGGAUUUGGAGUGUAAAAGUAGACAAAGAGAAUGAAUGUUGUAAAUGCACGUUGAUCAAGAAAUGAUAGUUGGU